rnacentral:lncRNA from 1 species
UUUAAGAUUUUUUAUGAUGAAAAGUUUAAUAUUUUCAAAGAACUUGGAUUUUCACAAAUAAAAAUUUUAAAUUAUAAGUUACAACAAAUAAAUUUCAUCUCAAUCUCAAUUGUAUCUACCAAAAAAUAAUCUUAAAUCCAACCCAAAAAUACCACAAUACUCUAAAACUAUACAAAAUUCGAGUCUAUGGGAAUUAGAUAUUGUGAAUUUAAAUUUUUAAUUCACUUUUUUUCAGAUUUAGAGAUUGUAACCUAAAAAAAAAAAAAAGAAGUUUGGAGUUUAGAGGAAGUCAGGAAAAUAAAAAACAAAGAUGCAAACUUGAUAAGAGAUAAAAAAAUGGGAAGAAAGUGAGUGGAUGUAGUAUUUAAUAAUUAGUUUUUAGGGUUAAGGAAACA